UACGUAGGGGGCAAGCGUUGUCCGGAGUUACUGGGCGUAAAGCGCACGCAGGCGGUCUCUUAAGUUUGGAGUGACAGUUGGUGGCUUAACUGCCAAAGUGCUUCGAAAACUGAGAGACUUGAGGGCUUCAGAGGGACACGGAAUUCCGGGUGGAGCGGUGAAAUGCGUAGAGAUCCGGAGGAACACCGACGGCGUAGGCAGCGCCCUGGCUGUGAAUAAAGCUGACACUGAGGCACGAAAGCUGGGGGAGCAAACAGG
rnacentral:rRNA from 1 species